GCAGUGUACAUUGAGCAUACUGGAAAUGGAUGUCCAACGAGAUUUGAUAUGUAUUAAUUUAUGGCAUAUUGAAAAUUUUCACUGUCUAAGUUCAAACUAAAGGAAUGACUAAUUUAUCUACUAAAGCACUUGGUGGCAUAGUUUUCUGUUUUUCUCAAACCAAGAAGUUUAAUCUGCGAGCAGAACUGGAAGACAAAGGCUCUGUGAUUUUACUGUGAUAUUGGUUAUUGACUUUGUUGACAACACUUUUAAAACCUGAAAGUGAAAAAAUGGUCAUCCACACAACCGUUUUCGAGGGAAUUUCAAAUGUUUUUAAAAAACUGUAAUCAAUUAAAGUGACUGAACAUUUGUGAGAGCGAAUAGAAGAAUGUCGCAUGAUUACAAAGGUUUUGUAGCCAAGGGGCUAUCGUUCAGCAUUUUUGUCGAUGUCUCAAAGUGGAGUGACAGUUUCAUGUCUACUUUGUUCCAUAUAAAUAAUAUGUCUAGACUACAAUAACAUCAAUAUGUGAAAGUAACGUCAAUCUACAACGAUGAGAACUAUACGAAACUUUGAACGUCUUUCUCAGGAAGUUAAGUUUUUUAAGGAUUUUUCAAUGGUUAUUUUCGAAAUUUUCUAUGGAUUUUUUUAUAUGUUUUGUCAAUAAAUGUAGUGUAGCCAGUUCACUCAUUAAGUUUUACUGUGCAAAUUUAAAAAUUGAAAAUGAAUGUGACCGUUUUCUUAAGAAAUAAAUGAUGAGGAUGCUCAAAAGUUUGCAUAGCAGGACUAACAAGAGUGGGUUAGUUACAUUGUUGGUCAAUGAUUUAAUGUGGUAUGGAACUAUGUACAUAUGAUAUUACUGUCCAUUCGAAGGAAAUGAAUUGUUCAUUUUGUAGGACAAAAACAGGCAGAUGAUAUGUGUGUCAAAAAUUCUGCAAAAACAUAUAAUGAAAUAAUUUUAGUCGAUUUUAUUAACAAGUGUUUGCGUGACUUUUAUUAAUUUUGCACUGUAAUAUAGAAUGUAGUCGUAAAGAAAUUUUUUGUUGAAAAA